CGAACGGGUGAGUAAAAGAUAAGUAACCUGCCCUAGGCAGGGGGAUAACGACCGGAAACGGACGCUAAAACCGCAUAGGCUGGGAGAUCGCAUGAGAAUCCAGUUAAAUGUCCUGAAAGGGACAGGCAAAGGAGGGACUUAUCACGCAUUAGCUAGUUGGUGGGGCAACGGCCUACCAAGGCGACGAUGCGUAGCCGGCCUGAGAGGGCGGACGGCCACACUGGGACUGAGACACGGCCCAGACUCCUACGGGAGGCAGCAGUAGGGAAUUUUCGGCAAUGGGCGAAAGCCUGACCGAGCAACGCCGCGUGAACGAAGAAGGUCUUCGGAUUGUAAAGUUCUGUUAUAGAGGAAGAACGGUGUACGUAGGAAAUGACGUACAAGUGACGGUACUCUGUGAGGAAGCCACGGCUAACUACGUGCCAGCAGCCGCGGUAAUACGUAGGUGGCGAGCGUUAUCCGGAAUGAUUGGGCGUAAAGGGUGCGUAGGCGGCCUGCUAAGUCUGGAGUGAAAGGUACCGGCUCAACCGGUACAGGCUCUGGAAACUGGCGGGCUAGAGAGCAGGAGAGGGCGGUGGAACUCCAUGUGUAGCGGUAAAAUGCGUAGAUAUAUGGAAGAACACCAGUGGCGAAGGCGGCCGCCUGGCCUGUUACUGACGCUGAGGCACGAAAGCGUGGGGAGCAAAUAGGAUUAGAUACCCUAGUAGUCCACGCCGUANACGAUGAGGACCAAGUGUUGGGGAAGACCCAGUGCUGCAGUUANCGCAGUGAGUCCUCCGCCUGGGGAGUAUGCACGCAAGUGUGAAACUCAAAGGAAUUGACGGGGGCC
rnacentral:rRNA from 1 species